AUGGCCAGAGAGAAAAUGAUUCUCCAAAUUCCUUUAUGCUGCCCUCUAACAUCUCAAGGGGCAGCCUUUGCCACUCGAUCAGAGUUCUACUUUAUGCCUGAGGAGAAGCAGGCCACGCAGAGGAGAAGUGGGAGGCCCAAAGCCCACUCUUCUGUUCCCAGUGGAUUCUGGGAGGAGGGAGGAAGAAGCAGGGGACACAGACAGUCAGAAAUGCCUCCUUUCCCCUGUUUGAACGUCUACCAGAGUGAGGAGGUGAGAAUCUACAAAGGAAGAUCUAAUGAGUUACAGAGAAAGAAGGAAGCCUCCACGACCGGAAUGCAUCUGGACACGUCUGGCACACUGGCAUGGUGGGCUGGCUGGACAAGUGUUUGGCUGAGAGGUGAAGAAAGGCCCACCUGGGAGAUAAUGUGCCUUCUAAGGAAAGAAGAAACCAAAUUUGGUCCGGGAUCAAAGCUUUAGUUGACAGAAGAGAAGUGAGAUUGUCACUCAACUCUGCCCCUAACCUGGGCCCCUGGACACAUCUGGUGGGGGUGGGGGAGUCCUGGGAGGAUGGAAGAGGCUGUAAGUUACAACUUGAAGGACUGCUUCAUAGACCUCAGGGGUACUCUGGUGCCCAAGCAGUCAUGGUUUAGGGACUUGCCACUAAGUAACACUUAAGGGACCGACACUCCAGCACUCAGCUCCUUUAUUUCAAGGCCUUAGUAUGUUGACAUUACCCAGAAAAUGUGGAUGGAUUGCCAAAAUGGUCACAUUAUUGCCUUCCCUGCCUACAGCUCACAGCUCCUCCCACAAAGAGAUGGAGUCCACUUCCUCACCGAGAAUCUGGGUUGACGUCGUAACUUGCUUUGGCCAAUAGAAUGUGGCAUUAAGUCAUACUGUGCCUUUUCAGAGCCUGGGCCUCAAGAAGCCUUGCACUCUUCUGCUCUUUCUCCUGGAACAUGGCUCUGCCAUGUGAAUAAGCCUGAGCUAGCCUGCUGGAGGAGGAAAGAACACACGGCUUGGAGCCAAGGCCCCAGACAUGUGGGACACCCAACCGAGAUCAGCAAAACUCCCUACCCGACCCAGAGCUGACCACCGCUGCAGGAGGAAGCCCAGCGGGGUUUACCCAAAUAGCCAACCUAUGAAAGCACAAAGUAAAUAGAUGGUUGUCAUUUUAAGCCACGAAGGUUUGGGGUAGUUUAUUCUAACAGUAGCCAGCUGUUAAAAAACUUGACAGGAUGAAAAAAACAUAACUAUGUUAGGUGAUGGCUAUGUUAACUAACCUUAUUGGGGUAAUUAUUUUGCAAUACAUAUGUAUAUCAAAUCAUCACACUGUACUCCUUAAACUUACAUAAUGUUAUAUGUGAAUUAUAUCUCAAUAAAGCUGGGGGGAAAAAAGAAACA
rnacentral:lncRNA from 1 species